UACGUAGGGUCCGAGCGUUGUCCGGAAUUACUGGGCGUAAAGAGCUCGUAGGUGGUUUGUCGCGUUGUCCGUGAAAACUCACAGCUCAACUGUGGGCGUGCGGGCGAUACGGGCAGACUGGAGUACUGCAGGGGAGACUGGAAUUCCUGGUGUAGCGGUGGAAUGCGCAGAUAUCAGGAGGAACACCGGUGGCGAAGGCGGGUCUCUGGGCAGUAACUGACGCUGAGGAGCGAAAGCGUGGGGGGCGAACAGG
rnacentral:rRNA from 1 species